CGGCAAUGAUGAGGAAUUUAGUCAUGCACCACUCUGAUUUUUUAGUGCUGAUAAAGUCAACACCUAUUUCUCUGAGCUG
rfam:Amborella trichopoda AMTR_V1.0_contig_845, whole genome shotgun sequence.